CAUGGAUAUUUAAUACCUUGGUUUUGACUUAUUUCUCCGUCUUCGACGUCCGACCAACCCCAGCCUUCUUCUUCUUCGUCUUCUACUUCCUGCGCUCAGCUUCUGGAAGCUUCCCGUCGCAGAUUCAGAUUGGUUAUUCUGAAGCAUGAGUAAAGGUGAAAUUCCAUCGCUGCUCUCCUUGUGCGUAGACGCAGUAAAAAACGAACUGGUUCGCGGCGAUGAUCUUUUACCGAUUGUCAAGGAGCUUCCAUGGGACCUGCUCGAUGCUCUCGCUUCCCGGUUGCCUCCGUUGGGGUUGGAAAAGCUACAGACCGCGAUGGCUUAUGGUGACUGGGAUGACCGUGAGUUUGCAGAUGAAGGACUCCGGAAUGGUAGAAAGCGCGGAAGGAGUUGGAAAUUCAAUGCGGCCUGGAGGAAUUUGUCGAAGGUGCGGUGGCCCGAGCUAGACAUUGGGAUUGAACCGCUGGACUGGCAACGAAUUUAUUGGGAAAUGCAUCUUCAAAAUUGCCUAGAUGCCGUAGCUGAGAUAGCUUCACUGCCGUCAUUUGAUGGGCACCUCAGUGAAACCAGGAUUCCAGAAUCUAUAUUGGGAUUGAUAGGUUGUGAGGGCUUUGUGCAUAAUUCAACUUGUGAUUGUUCCGAACUACAUCAUCAUUGCCAACAAUUUGGUUAUUAUGCCAGAUGCCUGAGACUUCAGAAUGUUCUCUGUGGUGCAGAAAUUUCUCAUUUAUUGAGGAACAGCCGAUUGCAGAGAUUGGAACUAAGGUGGAUCAGAUCAAAGGAGCAUAUUGCUGGAUUAUGCAAACUUCUGAGCCAGAAUAGUGAAAGUUUAACAUCACUUGAGCUCAUUCACUGCAAGCUUUCUUCAGCUUCUAUCGAUGAAAUUUGUUGUUCUCUAUCCAGAAAGAGUGUGCAAACUCACGGCAUAAAAAGCUUCUCAAUCAGCACAUCAAACUUCCUUGAAACAAACCCACUUUCCUUACCUCUCGGACUAGUGUUGUUUUUGUCAUCGGGAAGGUCCUUGUAUUCGUUAAAACUCUCUGACAACCACCUUGGCCGGAAUUUUGCAAAAAUGGUUUUUGGCACUCUUAUAAAUGCUUCUUCUAGUCUAUCCAUCCUUGACCUUUCAGAUAACAAUAUAUCAGGCUGGCUUUCUGAACUCUAUUGGAGAUCACCAAGUGGCCCUCCCAUACCUUUGGGAACUGGAAAGUCCUUGCAAUCAUUGCGAGUCCUCAAUUUAAGGGGAAAUAAUCUAAACAAAGAUGAUGUUGAUGGCCUUAGAUACGCUCUCGUUCACAUGCCUAAGUUGGAGGUCUUGGAUAUUAGUGAUAAUUCUAUUGAGGAUGAUGGAAUCAGGAGUCUAAUUCCGUAUUUUGUCGAAGCAUCUGAAAAGUGCACUCCUUAUGCUGAUUUAAUGUUGGAGAGUUGUGAACUUUCCUGUGAUGGGGUGACUCUACUCAUAGAUACCCUUUCAACCCUAAAAAGACCAUUGAAGUCUCUGUCUGUUGCUGAUAACGACCUCGGCAGCCAAGUAGCACCAGCUUUGGGAAAAAUCUUGUCUGCAUCAAUUCAAGUACUCAAUGUUGAAGGCAUUGGAUUGGGUUUAUCUGGUUUUCGGGAACUGCAAGAUGGCAUAACUAAGGAUUUGAAGCUAGUUGAGAUCAACAUAAGCAAAAACCGUGGAGGAAUUGAAGCUGCAAAGUUUUUGGUAAACCUGAUAUCAAGGGCACCAGAACUUGUUACAGUCAAUGUUGCAUAUAAUCUUUUGCCUUUAAACUCCUUGACCAUCGUAUGCUCUGCCAUUAAAGCUGCUAAAGGUCAUCUUGAGCAUCUGGACUUGAGGGGAAAUACUUGGGAUAAUCAAUCAGGUUAUGCCUCUAUGCUUGCCGACGCCCAAUGUAAUGGAAAGCCCGUUUUCAUUCUUUCGUCUUCACAAACUGUGGGUGCACCCUAUGACGAUGAUCCUUAGAUGGGAUGGCUAUCACACUGUAGUUUUAUUCAACACUUGUUAUGCAAAUGACCCCAUUGGAUGUACCAAAAUUUCUCAGCUGUGCGGCAAAGUUAUGCAGUGAUGUGGGACUGUUCGGAAACUUUGGCAUGCUACAUAAACCUUUUGAGUUGGGAAAUGCUAUAGUCGAUCACCUGCGCCCGUUGAAUCAGCCUGUGCGCCAGCGACUGCCUGAACCCUAACCUUAGCAAGCUCUUCUCACGUUCGGAGCUUCGACGGGAAGUUGAAGACAGUUCUGUCUUGUGUAGCAAGUCACAUAAAGAAGUGGUUGCCACUACUCACCACCACUAUAAGAUACAAGGGUAUGGGCUUCUACCUAUUGUGUUUUGUCAUGUAUCCAUCACAUCCAUUGCUCAAAACGGAACCAUCACAAAAACAAGCAAAUUGUUGCUGCUAGAACUAAAGGGCAUGGUGGUAAUGGUAACUUGUACAACACAUUUGCAACCAGACGGUUCCGUUUAUGGCACGAGCAUUUCGACGAUCAUGGUCGAUUUAUAAAUAGGGUGGGUGGAGAGGGUUCGAACUUGGGACCAAGAAAUUCUAACUUGAACCAUGGGUGAGCACGAUACAGUUUUUGUACAGACUAAACCUCAAUCGAAAACACAACCCCUCAAACCCAAAACAACCAAAUGAAGCGCAACGGUUGGAAUCGUUUCGGUUUAAGUCCUCCAUUGUUGCACAUCUACAAGUUCUACAAGCUCAUCCAAUUGAUCAAAAGCUUUGAUAAAGAAUAGCAUAAUUUAGUUUCCAAAUCUCACCCAGCAACCCAAAAAGGCUGAACCAGCCAACCUGUAAAGGUCAAACCAUUUAUACAACAUAUUGACACCAU